GACGAACGCUGGCGGCGUGCUUAACACAUGCAAGUCGAACGGAAAGGCCCUGCUUUUGUGGGGUGCUCGAGUGGCGAAAGGGUGAGUAACACGUGAGUAACCUGCCCUUGACUUUGGGAUAACUUCAGGAAACUGGGGCUAAUACCGGAUAGGAGCUCCUGCUGCAUGGUGGGGGUUGGAAAGUUUCGGCGGUUGGGGAUGGACUCGCGGCUUAUCAGCUUGUUGGUGGGGUAGUGGCUUACCAAGGCUUUGACGGGUAGCCGGCCUGGGAGGGUGACCGGCCACAUUGGGACUGAGAUACGGCCCAGACUCCUACGGGAGGCAGCAGGGGGGAAUAUUGCACAAUGGGCGGAAGCCUGAUGCAGCAACGCCGCGUGCGGGAUGACGGCCUUCGGGUUGUAAACCGCUUUCGCCUGUGACGAAGCGUGAGUGACGGUAAUGGGUAAAGAAGCACCGGCUAACUACGUG
rnacentral:rRNA from 1 species